GACGAACUGUCCUAACGUUGUUCGGAAUCACUGGGCUUAAAGGGCGCGUAGGCGGUCCGACAAGUCAGGGGUGAAAUCCUGCAGCUUAACUGCAGACGUGCCUUUGAUACUGUCGGUCUUGAGGGAGAUAGGGGUGUGCGGAACUCACAGUGGAGCGGUGAAAUGCGUUGAUAUUGUGAGGAACGCCGGAGGCGAAAGCGGCGCACUGGAUCUCUUCUGACGCUGAGGCGCGAAAGCUAGGGGAGCAAACGGG
rnacentral:rRNA from 1 species